CACCUGAAACAGAAAAGCUAAAUGAGAUGGAGGGUAAACUCGAACAAAACGUAAAGGUUGCUACACCUGAAACAGAAAAGCUAAAUGAGAUGGAGGGUAAACUCGAACAAAACGUAAAGGUUGCUACACCUGAAACAGAAAAGCUAAAUGAGAUGGAGGGUAAACUCGAACAAAACGUAAAGGUUGCUACACCUGAAACAGAAAAGCUAAAUGAGAUGGAGGGUAAACUCGAACAAAACGUAAAGGUUGCUACACCUGAAACAGAAAAGCUAAAUGAGAUGGAGGGUAAACUCGAACAAAACGUAAAGGUUGCUACACCUGAAACAGAAAAGCUAAAUGAGAUGGAGGGUAAACUCGAACAAAACGUAAAGGUUGCUACACCUGAAACAGAAAAGCUAAAUGAGAUGGAGGGUAAACUCGAACAAAACGUAAAGGUUGCUACAC